rnacentral:rRNA from 1 species
ACUCAAAGGAAUUGACGGGGGCCCGCACAAGCGGCGGAGCAUGUGGCUUAAUUCGAUGCAACGCGAAGAACCUUACCUGGGUUUGACAUGCAGGGAAAUCUCAUAGAGAUAUGGGGUCCGUAAGGGCCUUGCACAGGUGGUGCAUGGCUGUCGUCAGCUCGUGUCGUGAGAUGUUGGGUUAAGUCCCGCAACGAGCGCAACCCUCGUCCUAUGUUGCCAGCGAGUAAUGUCGGGGACUCAUAGGAGACUGCCGGGGUCAACUCGGAGGAAGGUGGGGAUGACGUCAAGUCAUCAUGCCCCUUAUGUCCAGGGCUGCACACAUGCUACAAUGGCCGGUACAAAGAGCUGCGAUACCGCAAGGUGGAGCGAAUCUCAGAAAGCCGGUCUCAGUUCGGAUUGGGGUCUGCAACUCGACCCCAUGAAGUCGGAGUCGCUAGUAAUCGCAGAUCAGCAACGCUGCGGUGAAUACGUUCCCGGGCCUUGUACACACCGCCCGU